rnacentral:rRNA from 1 species
CCUACGGGUGGCAGCAGUGGGGAAUAUUGCACAAUGGGCGAAACCCUGAUGCAGCGACGCCGCGUGAGUGAUGAAGUAUUUCGGUAUGUAAAGCUCUAUCAGCAGGGAAGUAAAUGACGGUACCUGACUAAGUAUCCCCGGCUAACUACGUGCCAGCAGCCGCGGUAAUACGUAGGGGGCAAGCGUUAUCCGGAUUUACUGGGUGUAAAGGGCGCGUAGGCGGCUAAUCAAGUCAGAGGUGAAAACCCAGGGCUCAACCUUAGGAGUGCUUUUGAAACUGUGUAGCUGGAGUGUAGGAGAGGCAGGCGGAAUGCGUGGUGUAGCGGUGAAAUGCGUAGAUAUUAGGAGGAACCCCAGUGGCGAAGGCGGCUUACUGGGCUGUGACUGACGUUGAGGCUCGAAAGCGUGGGGAGCAAACAGGAUUAGAUACCCGAGUAGUC